GCCUAAAGCGUCCGUAGCCGGCUCUGUAAGUUUUCGGUUAAAUCCAUAUGCUCAACAUAUGGGCCGCCGGGAAUACUGCAUAGCUAGGGAGUGGGAGAGGUAGACGGUACUCCGUAGGAAGGGGUAAAAUCCUUUGAUCUAUGGAUGACCACCUGUGGCGAAGGCGGUCUACCAGAACACGUUCGACGGUGAGGGAUGAAAGCUGGGGGAGCAAACCGGAUUAGAUACCCGGGUAGUCCCAGCUGUAAACUAUGCAAACUCAGUGAUGCAUUGGCUUGUGGCCAGUGCAGUGCCGCAGAGAAGUCGUUAAGUUUGCCGCCUGGGAAGUACGUACGCAAGUAUGAAACUUAAAGGAAUUGGCGGGGGAGCACCACAAGGGGUGAAGCCUGCGGUUCAAUUGGAGUCAACGCCAGAAAUCUUACCCGGAGAGACAGCAGGAUGAAGGCCAAGCUGAAGACUUUACCAGACAAGCUGAGAAGUGGUGCAUGGCCGUCGCCAGCUCGUGCCGUGAGGUGUCCUGUUAAGUCAGGUAACGAGCGAGAUCCUUGCCUCUAGUUGCCACCAUUACUCUCAGGAGUAGUGGGGCGAAUUAGCGGGACUGCCGUAGUUAAUACGGAGGAAGGAGAGGGCCACGGCAGGUCAGUAUGCCCCGAA
rnacentral:rRNA from 1 species